AGGCCAUGGUGAGGGCAUUCUUGGAGUAAAUCCUUGAAUCUCUCCAUAAGUUUAGAAAAGAACUUGCUAUGCUAAUGCCUAAACUAAAGGAUAUCACUUCUAAGCUU